rnacentral:tRNA from 1 species
GCGCCCGUGGCGGAAUUGGCAGACGCGCAGGAUUUAGGUUCCUGUGAGAAAUCGUAAGGGUUCGAGUCCCUUCGGGCGCACCA